CACAACCCACUCCUACACCCACAAACUUUUGAAAUGUGUCGGACGCAAACAUGCUUAAGUACAGAUUCCGCUAUGUUGAUAAGAGAAAAAUAUUUUGUAUGUAUCCCAGUUUAAUUCCAAAAUUACAUUUUUGUUAACGCUUCUGCUAGCUAUACACUAAUGCUGCUCAAUAUAACUGAAGAUGAUACCUUGGCACAGGCGGUUGUUUUAGGUGCUAGCCAUACAUUUCCAUCUAUUUAGUUAGCUAGCUAGCUAUAUAGCUCGUGAAAAAGCCUCCGUGAAGUAUGUUGGUCACAGUUUGUACAAAUAUUGUUGGCACCUACUUGAUCACUCAGCUUUAAUAUUCUACAGUAGUUUCACAUGCAAUGUUGUGGACCAUUAUCCUCUCGUUCCUACUAUGCAAGGUCUUCCGAUUGUGUUAGGUCGAAGCUUUUUAAUUGAUUUUCAGAUUCAGUCAAUUGAAUGUUUACAACUUGUUAUUACUGAGUGCCAACUGGUGCUUGGAAAUGAGUUGUGCGAGGUAUGUGUGAUGCAUGUGAUUUGACAGCAUGUUUUUAUAAGCUUAUGUUAAUAUUAUUUUAAGCUUUGUGGUCUAAAAUUUUUACGUUAUCAGGGAAAGGAUGUCCAUGCACUGAAUGCUUGUGUUAUGGUCACUUGACUUCCACAUCAUCAUCAAGACCCAUUUCUGACUCUACCUGUUAGUACUUUUGACUUGAUCCGUGCCCUUCACCUGCCUCUGCCUGAAGUGCUUUCCAGCAUGAUACAGUAUCAGCUAUUCCAGCCCAGAUAGGGUUCGAUUUCUGAUGGUUUUUUUAUACUAAUGGACAAUUCAACACAUUGAAUCCAUGGACGCUAAAUGAGGAAGAACGGGUCACCUUUCCACCUAUCAGGCUAUGCUGGGCAUGGGAGACGGGGGGAGCUUCAGGCGUUCUGCUACGAGGGCACUCAUCCUCGGCUCUCCAACGGGUUCUGCAGACAGUUUGCAGAAGGAUUGGGUGUGUGAAUGAGUGGAUGGGUGGGUAGGUGUGUGAGCAGAUGGGUCAAAACAGCAACUAAUGUUGCCUGUCCUUCCUCGUCAUUGACACAGACUGCCACCUUUGAGGUAUGCAGUAUUGUCAGAUCUUCAUUCCUACAUAUUUUAGCUGAUAGUACUUUUCACCACCUCUUAUCUCAGGUGGUAUCAAAGUGUCAGUGUGUUCCUUAUGCCCCCACCCCCAUGAAUACAGGCCUCUGAAACAUCUGCUCACACCUGGAUCCUCUAUUUAAUAAACUUCCCCUGUGAACCCCCAUUGGGGCAGUUCCUUUGUAAGACUAGCUGCCUGAUACAUAUUCAUGUAGGAUCCGGGCUAUUGGUUGACACCCAUUAUUCUGUUUAAGAUACUUGAACUUGGACUGUUUCAAUGUCUAAUCAGAGACACAGGUGAAUCUGCUGAGUGAAACCUUCCUCUUUCCCUUGAUGCACAUCAUUGCAUCAAGAAUAAAGCCUGUUUCCUGGUU